rnacentral:lncRNA from 1 species
CAGAACUUCGAAUUUGCCACGCAAAUAAGUGAUUUAAAAAUCACUUAUUUCAGUAAGUCCCCUGACUGGUGAAAUAUGGAAGUCACUUGAAGGAGAUUUUUCGUUUUAUUAUUAUUUAAUCAUUAGAGAAACAGAUUCUUACAAAGUUACUCGUGGAUUAUCGGAUUUAUACAAACUGAAUAGUUAAACUAUCAAUUGUUAAGUCCUUGCCAAGACUCAAACUUUAAAAUUGAUAAUUUAACUAUCUUGAUUGGAUAAAUCGAAUAGUCCACUGGUAUCAAUGUAAGAAUCUAUAUAUACACAUUACUUAUUACCUCAAAACUCUGAUCAAAUACAACUUUUGGUAAGUCACUUUUACCGUUCUUAGGUUAUGUCACUUUAUAACUUUAUAUGAUAUAUAUGAUAUGCAAGCAGGGGCAUCAUGUAUGUCCCAUGAACAUGUUCCCCAUUUAUUUGUAUUAAAAUUUUGUAACAAUGUACAUAUUGUGAUUUGCUAUAUAGAAAACCACCUUUGAUUAUACAUUGUACCUUGUUAAAAUUCAUAUCUGUACUUUUUAUUACUGUUUAUGAUUUUCAG